rnacentral:rRNA from 1 species
CCUACGGGAGGCAGCAGUGAGGAAUAUUGGACAAUGGGCGCAAGCCUGAUCCAGCCAUGCCGCGUGCAGGAUGACGGUCCUAUGGAUUGUAAACUGCUUUUAUACAGGAAGAAACACCUCUACGUGUAGAGACUUGACGGUACUGUAAGAAUAAGGAUCGGCUAACUCCGUGCCAGCAGCCGCGGUAAUACGGAGGAUCCAAGCGUUAUCCGGAAUCAUUGGGUUUAAAGGGUCCGUAGGCGGUUUAGUAAGUCAGUGGUGAAAGCCCAUCGCUCAACGGUGGAACGGCCAUUGAUACUGCUAGACUUGAAUUAUUAGGAAGUAACUAGAAUAUGUAGUGUAGCGGUGAAAUGCUUAGAGAUUACAUGGAAUACCAAUUGCGAAGGCAGGUUACUACUAAUUGAUUGACGCUGAUGGACGAAAGCGUGGGUAGCGAACAGGAUUAGAUACCCUGGUAGUCCACGCCGUAAACGAUGGAUACUAGCUGUUGGGAGCAAUCUCAGUGGCGUAGACGAAGUAGAGUAAGUAUACCACCGUCGGGUAGGUACGAACGACGAACGUUAGUAAACGUAACGAAAGGAAAGUUAGUACGGACGUAGAGACGUAGACCGACGGACGACGACGAGGGGAGGAGGG